AUUGUAGAGUGGUGACUGAAGAAGCCUGUGGUUUCUGGAUACCCAGAGGUUUUUGAGAUCUUUGUGCCUGCUUCAUGAAAGGUAGCUAAGGAAAGGCAGUGUCUUGUCAGUAGGGUUAAUUUGACAUCAGGAGCAAGGCACCUACACGGUUCAACAUGUUUGGACUUAGUCAUGGAUGCAUAUGAUGGAUACACCUUUGCAUUUGAUUAUGUAUCUUGUGUGCACUUUCAUGCAUGAGAAUUACUCUCUUUCUUGUAGUAAUACUUGGUGCAGAAUAAUUUUCAUGUUAAUAAGGCUAAUGUGAUUAUGUACAUGUUAUAGUGGAAAUUUUGGCCAAUGAGAAGCCUAGGCUUUUACGGACAAUGGAAGAAUAAAAGGUACGCUGGGGAGGAUGGGAGGUAUGUACAAAGGCAGGAAUGGAUGGAAUAAGAGGGGUUCUGAACCCUCAAGGUUUGUGCACAUGGGACAGGGUCUUUGGGCUGCCCAUUAUUUACAUAGGCCACAAGUGCUUUGCAAAUGUGUAUGUGCAUGUGUGUUUGCCUUUGGGAAGACAACAAAGCAGCUGUCUACAGACAGUCCCAUGCCUGAGUGCAUAAUGACCCUUUCAGGCCCCUACUCUGUGCCUGGCAGUGGCUAGUUCCACUUGCAGGAGAGGAAAAGCUGUGAACUCAACUGUAGAGAAUCACAGGCCACCUUUCUCACAAUGGCAUGAUCUUCCUCCCACCCAGAACCCAGGGAAGGCUAACCACAGAAAGUCAGUGACUUGUGAGAUAAUACAAUUAGAGCUGGCUUUUCACCUUUGCUGAUGUAACUGUUGUGAUGGGGGUUUGACUGCUUGUUUAAGAAAAGUUUCUGUGUGACAGUAUUGCUCAGUGCUGUCAGUAUUACAGUAGGUUGACUAUUGGGUACCAAGAGUUCCACUGAAGGUGGCUGGCUGAGAGUAAGCAGUGAGUAAAAGCACUGAAGAGUUUCAUAAUGUUUUCCGUAUGUCUUUUGGAAAUGGAGAACCCAGAAGGGCUCACAGUUUCAGUGUUCAGGACCAAUUCUCAUCAGCUCUCAUCACAAAUAGUGUAGCUCUCUCGGGAUGAAGAAUGUGACUGUUAGCUACAAAACAAUCUUUGUGAAAAAUUAUGUACCGUUUAUUCAGUACUUUAGAAGGACUAUUAACUGUUGAGGAGUUGUUGAAUUCACAUUAGUGUUGUAGUACAGAGUUCCGAGUAACAGCAUCUGUUUGAUUUUCUACUUUGCACUGCUAACAUGCUCAGCAUGUUUCUCAUUAAUGGUUUUUGUUUUCUUUUUCUAGCUGUACUUACAUUCUUAUUUGCCCACCAUGCAUGACAAGUUUAUAAACCACCCACAGGGUGGUGAAGGAAUUGACUCAUUUUUUUCCUCUCUCUUCGUAGGGCUUUUUGUGAGCUUUUGGGCCUUGUUAGGUAAUGUGUUUUUACCUUUGUGAGGAAAUUGUCUUUGGUAACUUUUGCCACAUACAGGUGAGCUGUGUCAGCUGAUAAAAUUAUCAUAGAGAGGAAAAUAUGCCACAGGUCCAUAGUUUCUAGCCUGACUGCUGCAAGGAGUUCUGAACAAUGGAAAAAAUCACUGAGGGAAAAUUGAUGGCGGCAGGAAGAGGGGCGUUGAACUUCCCAUGAUGUUUUAUAGCGCCAGCAAUGCCAGGAUGUGAAGAGUGAGCCUCGGGGUUGUGUCUGCAUGGGGGUCAGCAAAGCAGCUCUGGCAGAGACAAAAUAACAACUCUCAUCUGAGACAAUACAGACCUUGUUCCUUGCAGGAGUUCGUGCAGUGAAGUUCGUGCAGUGAAUGAAGUGUGUAUCAACUGUAAAGAGCCUAGUGGAAGGACGUGCUCAUGUCGUGCUUCCUUUUUCUGCGUGUUGCUAAUGCUGUGAUGCUUCCCAGCACUGCAAUGGGCACAGCACCAGUUCCUGCCUGCACAGCUGAUUUCCUAAGGCUCAGCUUGCUGAAGAGCGCCCCGGUGCAAGAGUCUGAGUUUAAGAAGUCGCCUGGUUAUUUAUCAAAUUCAAAUCCAAUGGACUGAGUGAGUAUACUGUGUACACAGUCACUUAGCUCAUUGCUCAUGCAUAGAUUUAAAAAGUGAAGGCCAUACUGUGUAUUAUGCCUAAAUUACUUUCUCAUUGCUAAAGAUGAAGCUGAUUUUUUACUAAAAUGAAGCUGAUCGUGCUACAGUUUUACACCAUGCUCUCCUUUAUGGUCAGGGUCCUGUCUACCACUCUGCUUACAAAACAUUGUAGAAGAAUAUAACCUAUUAUUUCACAAGGAGGAUUGGUGCAUCUGUCUAACUUAAUUAGAUACAUCCUGUACCCAUUUACUCAGCUGAGAUUUUCUGUUCACAACUCUGGAUGUGGUUAUUUUGAAGAGUAGCAAAAGAAGCCCUGAUUAUGCCCUUCUGGCCUGGAAUGCUUUUCUUUGAGGAUAAGGGACAGCAUGACAUUUAAGACCUCAGGAAACUUAAAUGCUGUGUGUGCUCUGCUCACGCUGCUUAAUACUUUCUUACUCAGAGACAAACUGAGUUGCUGUCACUGCAAAUGCCAUGCCACCUCACGUUUGGGGAGUUGUUUACUUCUUGCAGCUAUUCACAGCCUGAAAUACAAGCCUACAUUUAUCCCUUCUAUACUGUUUGAAAAUGUACUUUUAAAUGCAUCAUAUGUGUGAAUAUUCUUAUUUUUCCAGACAGGACUGAGCGUUGUUGAAAAUUUAGCCUCGUCAGAUUAAAAGUUUGAAUGAAUAGUCACCAAAAAAAAAAAAUCACUUAGUCAAACUUUGGUGCUUUCAUGCACCACUUCACAGUCUUUGUUUUCUAUGUGGGAUUCUCAUCUAUUUGUAAUGCAGAAUUUUAACUUCUAAAUUCAGUCCAACAAAUCACAAAGGCUAUUAAAUGAAUAUUUAUUCUUUACUUUCAAUCAUGAUAGCUUAAUCUCCAAGCUUCUAUGAGUGAUUUCUUAAUUUCUCUUUGAGAAAACCAAAUUACACAGACAGUUUGAAAAGGAGACCGUAAUUCUGUUUUGAGAAGAUAGUGUUGACAGAUCAGCCUGCAUGUGCAACCUAAGUAUUGCAAUAUCCACAUAGGCUACGAAAAUGACUAGCCAAAUAUUAUUAGAUGAAGCAGUAUUUAUUCACUGAAAGAGGUUUUCUGACUUGCAAAUAAAUCACCAAAUAUCAGAGUUUUGCUUCAAGUCUUUCCACAGUCUUCUGAUGAUUGUUUGGAUUAUUUUGAAAGUAUAAAUAGCUGGCUUCUUUUCCUAACUGAUGUUUUAAAUUUUUGCAGAAUGAGAAGUGGGAAAAUGGGGAAAAACAUGAUUGUCGUUUGCAAAUACUAAUAAGAUCAGCAGAUUAGUAGCACAACCAUGGGCCAAGAUGAUUUGAGAAUAUAUUUUCCACUUUGUAACAACUUCUGAAUUUUUGUAAUCUGCUUUUGAAUUGUAUUGGAAUUGACAUGGUCUACCUUCUCAGAAAUCAGCCAGGCAAAACACUUAGAAAAACAGCAAGUCCUUCCCUAGAGAGCAUCAUUCAAAUCAUCAAUUUGUAACGAAAUACCUGAAUUUUAACAAAACAUGCAUAAUGAAUUAGGCAAAAUAAUUGCCCAGUUCUAGGAACAAAGAGUCUGUCAAAGAAUAUAUCUGUGGAGUUGGAAUUUAUGUAGAGAAUUAAUCUCAGUACAAGCAAAUGGUCUUUUUCAUUUUUCCCCAUUAAUCUGCCAGUAUCUUGCAGACAAAGAAACUUUUCCAAGUAUGACUCUGCUUUUUAACCUGAGAUGUUUCCUUUUCAUAUUGACUCACAAAAUCCACUACUGUAAGUAAAUGUAAGACAUUAACUUCCUGCUUAUACAUGAUGAGCAUGUUAAAAUCUUGAUUUAG